rnacentral:lncRNA from 1 species
GAGAAUCAAUUUCAUUUGGAGGAAAGCUAUUUUGGUACCAUGUCGGGGUUCGUUCACUUGUAUUUUUUUUUUUGAAUUUUCACCACCAUUGAUCUGUGUAACUUCUUAAAACAUGAUAUUGUUGAAAUUAACAUUUGGAUUGUUAGAAAUGUAUUCCUGCUAAUUUCAAUUGCGUUUGAUCAGCGAAUCUUUGUGGUUGCUUAUAACUGUUUCUUAAGGCUUUGUUGAUUAUGAAAUCUGAACUUUUUGAGAAAGCUGAUGAUACUACUGCUACACUUUUGUCUUUUUACCACGAGGACUGUGAACUGCAUCUUCGAAAAUCGAGUAAUUUUAGUGGCUCCGUUCUAUUAUGAAAACUUAAACUUAAUUUGAGCUCAAUCAAGUAAUUAUCUUUGGUGGGAGAUUUUGAAUUUUCACCAUGGGUUAGCAAUUUGUUAUCCUUCUUUUAGUUCUUGAGUCCUGGUUUUUUAUUUGUUUAUUUUCUUAGCAAUUGAAAGUAUUGAACACAUUAGUAUUCCCCAUUAGUAUUUCAUAUCUCUGCCUUCACCUCAUGUUUGCAGUGAAGUGAGCCAGACAGAAGAAGAUGAAACAGAUUCUUGCAUCUGCACAAUGAUGCACUGCUGAAAAUUGCUAUCACCUACCAGUGACACUGAGCUCGCCCUUUCUAAUUUAGCUUCUCAACAAUGAAUUUUAGCGAUUACAGUCUCAAGAUUAAGC